ACAACACCUAGGAGGAUCCUGAGUACGGCGGAACACGAGAAAUUCCGUCGGAAUCCGCGGGGACCAUCCCGCAAGGCUAAAUACUCCCUAGUGACCGAUAGUGAACCAGUACCGUGAGGGAAAGGUGAAAAGCACCCCGGAAGGGGAGUGAAAUAGAUCCUGAAACCGUGUGCCUACAACAAGUCAAAGCUCGUUAAUGAGUGAUGGCGUGCCUUUUGUAGAAUGAACCGGCGAGUUACGAUUGCAUGCGAGGUUAAGUCGAAGAGACGGAGCCGCAGCGAAAGCGAGUCUGAAUAGGGCGAAUGAGUAUGUAGUCGUAGACCCGAAACCAUGUGAUCUACCCAUGUCCAGGUUGAAGGUGCGGUAAAACGCACUGGAGGACCGAACCCACGUACGUUGAAAAGUGCGGGGAUGAGGUGUGGGUAGCGGAGAAAUUCCAAACGAACUUGGAGAUAGCUGGUUCUCUCCGAAAUAGCUUUAGGGCUAGCCUCGGAAUUGAGAAUGAUGGAGGUAGAGCACUGUUUGGACUAGGGGCCCAUCUCGGGUUACCGAAUUCAGAUAAACUCCGAAUGCCAUUCAUUUAUAUCCGGGAGUCAGACUGCGAGUGAUAAGAUCCGUAGUCGAAAGGGAAACAGCCCAGACCACCAGCUAAGGUCCCAAAAUAUAUGUUAAGUGGAAAAGGAUGUGGGGUUGCACAGACAACUAGGCUAAACAUAUUACCGAAGCUGUGGACUACACCAUUAGGUGUAGUGGUAGGAGAGCGUUCUAAGGGCGUUGAAGGUCGAUCGUGAGGACGGCUGGAGCGCUUAGAAGUGAGAAUGCCGGUAUGAGUAGCGAAAGACAGGUGAGAAUCCUGUCCACCGUAUGACUAAGGUUUCCUGGGGAAGGCUCGUCCGCCCAGGGUUAGUCGGGACCUAAGCCGAGGCCGAUAGGCGUAGGCGAUGGACAACAGGUUGAUAUUCCUGUACCAGUUGUUUUUGUUUGAGCAAUGGAGGGACGCAGUAGGCUAAGGAAUGCAUGCGAUUGGAAGUGCAUGUCCAAGCAAUGAGUCUUGAGUAGAGUUAAAUGCUUUACUCUCUAAGGACAAGUUGUGACGGGGAGCGAAAUAAUAGUAGCGAAGUUCCUGAUGUCACACUGCCAAGAAAAGCUUCUAGUGAGAAAACAACUGCCCGUACCGUAAACCGACACAGGUAGUCGAGGAGAGUAUCCUAAGGUGAGCGAGCGAACUCUCGUUAAGGAACUCGGCAAAAUGACCCCGUAACUUCGGGAGAAGGGGUGCUGACUUCGGUCAGCCGCAGUGAAUAGGCCCAAGCGACUGUUUAUCAAAAACACAGGUCUCUGCAAAAUCGUAAGAUGAAGUAUAGGGGCUGACGCCUGCCCGGUGCUGGAAGGUUAAGAGGAUGGGUUAGCUUCGGCGAAGCUCAGAAUUGAAGCCCCAGUAAACGGCGGCCGUAACUAUAACGGUCCUAAGGUAGCGAAAUUCCUUGUCGGGUAAGUUCCGACCCGCACGAAAGGCGUAACGAUUUGG
rnacentral:rRNA from 1 species